rnacentral:rRNA from 1 species
UAGUACAGGAUGAUACUACGGUUGGCAAGCGAGUUUAACCGUCUUGGGUUGGUGACCAUCUGACCGCCCCAAACGGUUUACCAACUGCUUGUUGUUGAACACACAUUACGCCCCCGUCGC